CUAGCCCCGACCCCAAUCUUUCUCUCCUUCCCGAUCCUUUUCCUUGUGGCGCCGUCAUGGAGGCCCCCCCUCGCCGGCCGCCUCCCGCCCGCUCCGACAAGCCGCGCCCUUCCUCCUCGCCCACGCGCCUCCCCUUCCCUUCUUGCUCGCCGCCGCCCAGGUGGGUUCACCGGCGAGGUCCGUGUGCCGCGGGAGUGGCGUGGCCGUCGCUGCUGGCCUCCUCUGCCUCUGCAAGUCUCUUCUCUCAAGUCCGCGCGCCGCCUGAGCGGUGUGGCCAUCCCUACCGAGGCCUCGUUGUUGCACGAGAACCAGCUGGCCCGCCCCAUUUCCCUCAUUUGUGAAUCCUCGUGUGCUCGCUGCUAGUACUUGAUAUUGCAGAAAACUUGUGAUUGUAUUUAAAUUGGCAAGAUUUCAUUCAAUGAAGCAAGGUGGUACUAUUCUAGGAUUUGAUUAGUGGUGUGUUUGUAAGACAAUAGGCUUUGGGGGGAACCGGCACAACCCUCUAGGGGUGGCCUAUCACAUAUAUAUAUAUAAUGAGGUGGUAUACAACGUUACAAUAUACACAUGUAAAUACAGUUUAA